rnacentral:ncRNA from 1 species
CGAAACACGAUGAAGGAAAGAAGAGGCUUUAUCGUCUCCAGAGAGCCGGUGGUUGGUGCAAACCGGUGACAGAGAAGUCAUCUUUAGCGUUCCAGAGCAACUGCAUUGAACUACCCAGUAGGUGCAGUCGGAUGAUUCCGUUAUCAAUCAGGUCUCCAAUCGGAAGACCUUGAGGCUGCCGUUCGCGAAGACGGCGGUGAAUUAGGGUGGCACCACGAUAACUCUCGUCCCUUAC